AAAAUGUGAAACAUUGCUAAUAACUUGCCUCGUAUACAUGAUAGUUUUAGGUCAUACAAGCAAUGGGGAAAAGAAAAGCAGUCUAUAUGUGAUGAAGCAAGCCUAAGUCAAAUAGGUAAUGCCCAUACAACCAAAUUCAUUACAAUGGAUGGAUUUCAGUCCUAAAACUGGAAAGUAAAUAUGCAUAACAGAAGUGAAUCGUGGAACGUGGUUUAUACACAGCACGAUAGUCUUCCUGUGAGUACAGCUUCUACCACACAUCGCCUGUAAACAAAAGAAAAGAUAACCAUACCAUACUCAAGUUGACCAGUGCAGAGAGUCGCUAUAAAAUAGAAACUUCAAAGACCAUAUCAGGUAAUAUGCUGAUAGGAUUUAGAAAACAAUGUCCGGAAAACAAAAAUAUUUCUCAGUAUAUAGUAGGAUAUCAUGCAUGCAGCAAUCAUGUACAUAGGUGUUCUCAUCAAUGAACUAACAUCAAGCAGAAAAACUAAAAGCGCCAUUCUAGGAAAGUCUGUAUAUUCUACAUGCAUCGACCACCCAAAACUGAAAGGGAAAGCAAUAUUAUUAAUCAACAAAAAACAAAAAUAUUUUUUUCAGAAUCCAUGGGAACGAAUGGAGUGGAAAUAGAAAAUAUUUAUAAAUCUUUGAAGGAUACGAAAGAACUGCAAUAUUAUAGGCUAACGGAAUUGAUCUUUUCCAGAGAAGAUCUUUGCUAGAAGGAAAAAAACAGGUUUAACCUUGGAAGAGGAUUAUUUUUGUUUAUGGUGCAAUGUAGCUUGCUAGCAUUAUGCAAUGCAAUAAAGGAGAAACUACUCUAUUAACGGCAAAUCAUACAGUGAUAGGUGGUGUUGAAAACAAAACUGAUGUAAAAUGUACAUGCCAAUGUAUCUUAAUCAUAGCAAACAACAAACAACCAACAAUGAGAAAAUGCAUACCACAUAGCAACAGCCAACAAUAAGCACAUGCAUCACCCGCUGCUGCGAAAACAGACUCAUCCCGUUGGAGAGAAGCAUGGUGGAGAAAAUCAAAAUCCACCAGAACCACAAAAAAAUCAAGCACGCAUUACACAUAAACAUUUACCCUAAGUUCAUGCAUUAGAAAAAUAAGCGAGGGCACCACAUUUUCUAAAACUAUAGUUUAAAGUUAGCAAUCUGAACAUAUACACAUAUCCUAGGUGCGAAGAGUAUCUUAACCACGGCUCUGGUUUUAGCUGAAACUUGCUUUUUUAGAUAUAGCAGUACAUAAAAACACAAUGAACAUCUGAAUAAGAAUUUAUUCUUCUGAAAUUAAUACGGCAUGGGACUGCUAUGGACAAUGAUGGAACAUUUAUGGUGACACAGUUUUCAGAAAUCUUUUUCAUUGUCAUAGUGGAUCUUAGGGAAAAUGGACUUUCAAUCAACUUCAUAGUGGAUCUUAGGGAAAAUUUUCCUAUGCCACUACAACACCGACAAGUGCGACCAUGUUUUCAUCAAAACAAUAUUACCAAUUCUUUUGGUUGCAAUGAAACACCGAAAACCUGGCUCGAGUACAUUUGAACAAUAACAUUGUCGGCUAUCUACAUACCUGUAAAAUUACAUACUCAUAUAUCAAGCUUUCAAAGUAUAAGUAUUUUUCAGGUCUGGACAGAUUCAAGCGACUGAAAGAAUAUUAUCCUUUUCAGUUAAAAUUAAAUAGCUUAAUCUUCUAUCAGAUUUACAUGGGCCUUAGGGUAUAGAACAGACUUACAGUUGGAUAGUAAUUCGUGAAAACAGAGUAACCAGUGAUAAUCAAAUCCAUUACUGCAUCAAGGUACUUUUUUCACAUGAUCAUGCCAUAAAGGCAUUCCAGAUUUGCAGAAGAAAGGUAGGAAACUCCUACAAAGCAGCAAGCAAAACACCCAGAUUCAGAGCAGCUGGGAACGAAUAAAUUCAGAAAUAGAUAAUUAGUAAACAUUGAGAUUGCACGUGUUCUAUUGCUACCUGCCUUCUCUUGUUAAGUAACUCAUUCAAAGACAGAUAGUAGCUCACUGAUUAGUAGGUGAUGGUGUUCUAGAUGCUCGUUCCUUCUCACCUUGGGCUCUCUGAAUAAGUGAUUAUGUAUUACCAAAUCCAAUGAUGGCUAGCUCCAUGAAGAUCACACCUGUACCACUGCAAGCAAGCAAGCCAGCUGUUAGAUCUAUUUGUCCAUAUAAGAUAGGAGUAGGAAUACAUGCAUAUCCUGCUAUAUGUCAUUCAAAAUUUCAUUUUUCGAAUAUGUUAGCCUGCUAAUUGCAUUGGGACAAAUUUGUAGAAGAAGCUAAUCAGGGCAUCUCCAAUGCAAGAGUGCUUGUUCGGCACUUAGGCAAUAAAAAAUAAUAAUAACGGAAGUAGCAUCGAUCUAGCAGUCUGCAACAAAUGAUGCAUGUCAAAACGCAAAACAGAUUAACCAAAUGAACUACUUACGCUCUGGCAAGGUCAAGAGCUAUCUGUAUACCCUGUCUUGGGAUAUAUGGGCCAGCAACAGCAUACCACCUGUAGUAUUGUCUAGGCUAAUGAGGUAAGAUUAUCCACUGCUGAGUUACUUUUCAUUUUGCCCUUCAAUUCAAGUGCUUACAGAACAACACAUGCAUUUUUUUUCAACCUUACAACAGUCCAAAUUUUUUCGAAGAGGGUUUAAAUCGAUUUCUUUUGCGAGCGAUGCGUACAUACAGUUUGGGGAAAUAAGUGAACGCAGAACAACAACUCCUUGACGAAUCAGUAAUCAAAUGUAACAAAAUGAUGAGGUGAGAAAGAUGGUUCAGCCUGUGUCUGAAUCAUUCAGCCUCUCAUUAUUUUGAGAAAAUAGGCUCAAGACAAGAUAUCAUCUAUCAGCCUGCUUAAGUGAGUUUCGUAGUGGAGUGUUCCUUGCAGUUCAGGAGCACACAACGGAUUCUUGGUCAUUCAAAUAAAGAGCCUUUUCUCACUUACUCUAUUAUAAUGUGAUUGCUAGAUCACGUACUAAGUGUGUUGAAAAGAGAAGUUAUUUUGCAGUCAAAAUAAAAAACACGAGUAAUCCAAACCAAACCAAGAGCUGAGGUGGUGACGAACACUCAGCUCGA
rnacentral:lncRNA from 1 species